UUCGACGGAAAGGAGAUUUUAGCAGUUUCCUUCUGGUUGAUGGGUGUAGGAUUUAUUUUUAGUGUUAUAAGUCAAAUGGGGUUCUUUGCCUAUUUAACAAUCCAUCGUUUUGGACUGGGGAUGUUUAGGUCACCUUCUUUAUGGAAUGCAGUCCAGCUCUUCUUUAUUGCAUUCGUUUUAUUUGAUUUCGUGUAUUUAAGAUCCAUAUUGAUUGCAAAUGGGGAAGUUUCGUUAGGGAAUAACAUACUUGUUGCAGGUGUAUUAUUUAUGUUUGGGGCGAUUGUUGCUUACAUAAAAAGUAAAGAAACGAAUAGAAAGGCAUUUGUGCCCGCUUUGUUCUUUAUGGUUGUUGUAACAAUUCUUGAGUGGGUACCAGCGCUUCGUAUUAAUGACACAGAUUGGUUGUAUUUAAUGGUGAUACCACUUUUAUUAUGUAAUGCAUAUCAGUUACUUAUAUUACAUCGUUUAAUUGGAAAGGUGAGUAAGUCGGCUUAAGUAAGAGAGAUUUUUGAGUUUUUAUGCAGGGUGGUUGUACGAAUAUAAAUAUCGGGAUGAAAAAAGCUCUACUACCUUCAUGAUAGGUAGUAGAGCUUUUUAUGUGUGAAGGCACGAGGGAAAAGAAUUACCUUACAUCUUUACUUUUUGUACUUGUGUUAGAAAUAAGUUGUGAUACCGAUAUUUGCUCAUAUCCGUCACUCUUUAAUUUUUGCAGAAGCAGUGGUAAAGCUUUAUUUGUUUGAAGGGCAGAAUCGGAUGCAUGUAAUAAGACGAUAUCUCCACCUUUUAAAUUAGUAGAGACAUUGGAAACGAUAUUGUUUACACCUGGGUUUUUCCAGUCGUUUGAGUUAUUACUCCAAUGGACGAUGGUGUAUCCGAGUGAUUCUGCUAUUUUAAGUGUUGCUUUGUUAAAGUCUCCACUAGGUGGACGUAAUAGUUUGACUUGUUUCACACCAAGUUUUGUAAAAACAUCUUGUGCUCGUAAAAGAUCUCUUCGUAUUUCAUUUGCCUCUAGAGAAGUGUAGGACGUGUAAUUAUAGCCCAUACUACCGAUUUCAUGUCCAUCUUUUAUGAUGCGUUCAACAACAUCAGGAUGUCUUUCUGCCCAUGCAGCAGAAACGAAGAAGGUUGCAUUCUUAAUGUCUCUUUCUUUAAGUGUAUCAAGGAUUGGAAUUGCUUUUUUGUCUCCCCAACUAAUAUCAAACGUGAAUGCAACUUGUUUUUUAGAGGUGUCUCCUUUGUAAAUAACUUUAGGUCCUGUCGCAGUUGAAAAAGCAGAUUCAUGUGAAUAUGUUUUUAAAAAGAGAAGCCAUGCUGUAAAUAAGGAAAGUAUCACUAUUAAGCUAAUGUGUUUAAAAGCUCGUUUACUCGUAAUAAAAAAGAAAAACAUAAUAUUACGCCCCUUUGUCCAAUCCUUUUCAGUUACAUAUAUGCUUUAAAUAUUAAAAAGAGAACAAAGGAUUAAUAUCGUAAGCAGUGGAUAUAAUGAAUGAUAGGAUUUUGAUAAGUGAAAAUGAGCGUAACGUUUAUUGCUUUGUAAGAAAUGAUUGAGGUGAGGAUUUGCUUGGGUUUAUGUUAACAAAAGAAGAGAAAAAAGAAAUGGAAUACAUAUUGAAGAGAGAGUUAGAAGAACUGUUAUUUGAUUUUGAAGAUGAACGUAUUCAUGACGUUGUAAAAAAGGCGAUGGAAGAAAGAUAUAAAAUCAUUUUUUGUUUGUUUCGAAGAGUCGCUAAUGCAGAAGAGUGUAUGCGUUAUGUAAGGAAAAGAAUUUUUUAUUAAAAAGUGUUGACGUUAAUGGUUAUUAUAUGAUAAAUUAAUAACCGUCGCUGAUGCGGAAACGCAGAAAACGACAAAAAAAGAAAUUGAAAAACUUAGUUGACAUUGAAAAACGAAGAUGUUAACAUAAGGAAGUCGCAAAUGAGCGACUAAGUAGUUCUUUGAAAACUGAACGAAACAAACAACGUGAAACGUCAAUUUUUAUUUUUAGAUGCUAGACAAACUAACUUUAUUGGAGAGUUUGAUCCU
rnacentral:rRNA from 1 species